AAUCUUGACCGUCCAUCGACCCCAAGUCUCUCUAUAAAUAACACGACUUCUCUCAUUCCCAAAACCAGCCCUAAUCCGAUUUAAUCCUUGUUAUGCCGUUCUCCGUCUUCUGUUUUCGUGUUUGCUCGAGUUAAUUGUUGGUUUGUCGUCUAAUUUGCGUUGAUUCUUGCAACUUUGGUGAUCUGGUUGUGUAUUCCAUCGGAUUUCUACUAACCUUCCUAACGAGUUCGAGCGAUAAUAGACGUUCUAGCGGACGCUUCAAUGAUGUUUGUGAUUUUCUGUAGAUUCUUCAGCUGAUUUGAUCUAUUCGGUUGUUUGCAAUGGUUGAAGAUCAAAAGCGGUUAUCGUUUCAAGUUUUGAUGGUCUAUUUAGGUUAUGAUAUAUUCAUCCGUGAAUAGUUCCUGGGCUUACUUUCGUCGUUUGUAUCUGUAGGGGGGAAAUCCUCUGGGUAGCUCGAGCUCGUGAGCUAUCGGUUCUGAUGGUUAUUGGCAGUUUUUGGAAGCGCUUAUGGUUUGAUGAGUUUACUUAUUAUGUCGCCUACUUUAGAAAAACGUUUUAGCAGAUCAGAUGUGCAUCUUCGAGACUUUGUUCAUGACUUUUGUCGGCAUGUUACUUUUCGUGAUUUUUGUCCGUUAAUGUCCAUGCUAAAGGCGCUGUUUCCUUGACUUGGUGUCUCCAUAACCUUAAAUUGCAGAUUGGAAUUGUUGAGGAGGGUUGCAGAUGGCUAGAUUUAGUGACUGGGGACUGCUUAAGCGUGCGAUUUCUUUCUGUUUUAUUUGGGCGGUAUCUCCCCCUGUUUUUGUGUGCUGUCCUCAUGCCCAUUAACUAACGGUGCCUUGGUUUUACCACCAAAUAUAUUCAAACAUUUACUAGUUCAUGUCGCCAUUCGUAAAUAUUUUCAGUUCUGUAUUUCUCAGUCUUAUUAGUUCUCUAGGUGUGUGAUGCACUAUUCUUCCUCUCUCCGUCUCUUCAUUUUUCAGUGUCGUUUGAAAUAUAUGCUCUCACCAAUUUGUCAUAUUUCAUUCAUUUUGGUUUGAUUCCAUAGGUUGACCAUCCCUGAUUCAUAUAGCGUUUAUAUCCUAGGCAUUUUUAGAAGCUUCACACCAGAUAAGUAUCUUACAAUUUAAGUUUUGGCUUAUUAAUUCCCUUUUUCUUUCAUUUGGGUUCAUUACUGUUUAGCAACUUCAGAUCUGUCUAACUGAUAUCUGCUCAGGCUGCAGCUAUUUUGGUCUGUUUAUGUAGGGCUGCUAUGGGAGUGGAGUAGUGGUUUCAUGUCUAUUAUAUUUUUCUCCUUGUUUCCCCUGCAUAUAUUUGUCCCUCUUUUUUCAGAGGUUCGACUUUUAGGUGGUUCUAGGUCUUGACAACGGAGAGAUCCGGUUAGACAAGCUUAUCCCUUUUUACUUGCCCUCAUAAAUCUUACAUCAAAUCAUUUUUUGGCAUAGCUAAUGUUGAGAAAUUAACAAUUCUGUGAUUUUUCAUCCAUCAAAUCUAGCUUGCAGAGUCCUAUGUGGAUCCCUGAUUAUACUGUUAAAUCAGGUAUAUAUUUGUAUUAGUUAGUGUUAGUAUUAAUAUAUCCUGUUGUGCUCUGUUGGGAAUUUUCCAGUGCUAGUGCAUGUGUGCUGACUGUUUUGGGAGUGAAAACAUCUACAUGAAGGUUUGACAAGAAAUAUGGUUGUUUUUUAGUGUUAUACUUCCAUCAUUACUAUUAGUUCCAUUUCAUUUUGACAAGAAAUAUGGUUGUUUUUCAGUGUUAUACUUCCAUCAUUACUAUUAGUUUCAUUUCAUUUUUCGGUUGAUGUCCCGUUAUUUGAUUAGCAGCUUUCAGCGAGUCAUAUGGUACCUUUUGUGGGUUUGUAAUGUAGAUAUGGAGAUGUUUUCUCGCACCUUGUGACAGGGAAUAUUAGGAAUAAUCAAUGGUUCCAUCCGAGUUGAUGGAUCUUAUGGUGCGGCUAUCUUGAUCCUGUUAUUGGAAAAGCCAUCAACUUUUAGAUGCCGGCAUUGAUAUAGUUUUUAUCGAGUGGCCUGUAGCAGAGGGAGUAUAGUGUUUAUUCUACAUCAUUUACCUUAUACCUAGAUUAUCCUCUUGCUUAUCCUUAUCCUUAUCAAUUUCCAGAGAUCUUGGUGAGGUUCUUGAUCAGUUUCCAUCAUAAGGCUUUUCUGGUUUGAUGCUUGGAUCCCUUUGCUCAGUUUCAUCAACUUCAAUUUCUAUGUGGAUAUGGAUAUUGUUUUUUUUGACUCACACUGUGACAGGAGAAACUAAGAGUAAAUUAUGAUUCUGCUGUUUGAUCUUGUGGUUCCGCUGUCUCCGUUCUGGCAUUGAUGCAUCAUGUUUAUGGAGGAUAGUAGAGGGAGUAGUAUAUUACUUUACACCAUUUUUCUUUCACGUAGAACUUCCCCUUACUGUUAUGCUCUUUAAUAUCCAGACAUCUUGGGGUGGCUCUCUAUCAGUUUCCAUAAGAUGGCAGUUCUGGUGAUGUUGAGUUAUGGUGCAAUCCAAGUAGGAUCGUAAGAUAUCUGAUGCUGGCAUCUCUGUAAUGUUUUGGAGGCUGACAGAGGGAUCAUAAUAUUUUAUCUUUUCCAUUUUUCUUCUAUUUAGACUUUCUUAUUGCUUAUUGUUAUGCCCUUCAUUUUCCAGAUCUUAUCUUUUGAUGGGUCUUAAUUCGUUUUCACUGGAAGUCCGUUCUGUUCUGGUUUGGUAAUUGGUUUCCUCUGCUUCAUCUCGUCCGCUUUUAUUUUUUCAUAUUGUGCUGUGGAUAUGGUUUUCUGCUUCACGCCUGUGACCGGUGAUAUAAAGAACAAAAAGUGAGAAGAUAAUGGGCUGAGAAAUUUAGUAGAGUAAGAUAUUGCUUGCUUCAAAAAGUUUGUGGGAUAAGCCAAAAUGAGAUUUUUCUGGACAAUUAAAAGAAACCCUUUUAAAGAAAAAAAGUAAGUUAUGAUUAAUCUUAUGUCGAGCUGUUCUUCUGGAGUAAUGUGGCUGUAUUUUUCUUAUGUUCUGGUUCUACUAGCCUUCUUUUUUUUGCAUCUGCAUUUCUACAUUCCAAAUCACCUAUAUUUCUAGGACUGAUGCUAAUUAUGUGCUACAGCUUUUCAUUUGUCUGUUACUGGCCUAAUUUUUUUUUGCUGUGUUUACUUUUUGAUCCUCUAUUUUCAGAGGAUUGGCAUCCAUGAACAAUGUCGGUUACAAUGGAUAGAUCUGGUUCGACAGGCUUGCCCCUUCCCAUUUAAUGACAAAUUUCAUGUGAGAAUCUACCCUUUUGUUUGACCCCCUGUGAAGGCAGGAAGUCCAAACUUUCUCAGUCGUGCAUCUAACCAAAGCAAGGUUCAACAUUGGGUCUUGUCAUUAUGCUCAGUUACGGUGUUCAAGUCUGAAUGUAGACAUUUUCAGCAGUGGUUUUGAAGUUAUGUGGACUAUGGGUACAUGGCUACUACAUUCGGUAAUUUUGCGUAGGUAUCUAAGUUUAAUGUGGAUUAUGGCGUAGGUAUCUAAGUUUGAUGUGGAUUAUGGCGGAGCAAUGAUUUCUAGGGACAUGUGAUACAGUUGAUAAUGCAAAAUUAUCACUACUAAUAGCAGCUUUUCUUCAUUCAUGAACAUAGUUUUGAUUUGCAGCUGUGAGUGAGUGGCAUCAAUGGCUCCCUUUUCUGGAAUGUUUGGUGAGCUUGAUCUCUCUUCUUUGCCUUCUCCUGUUUGCUUUAAAAGCUAACAUGAUGGUUUUCCUCUCCUUGUGAUCCCUAUGCUCGCAAUGUGUGUGAGAUCAAUGUGCUACUAGUGAAAGAUUGGUUGUGUCUGCUAGUGAAAGGAUUGGCUGUGUUCACUUUAUUAGGUCGUCUUUUUGUUCACUUGGAGGUCGUCAGGAGUCUUCAUACAUCUGUUCAAGGUUAUCGUUUCAAUAUUUCCGUACAUUUCCAUGGAACAUCCUUACAUUUGUUGUGGUUGUUUGCUCUGGCUCCCACCAUAUCUAACAGUGCUUGGAGGCCUUUGAUUGGUGUCUGCAAUGAAUGCUCAACUGGACUCUGUGACAGAGGGAGUGAUGUAGCUGUUAUGCUCCAUUUUGUCUUCUACAUUGUUUUUAUGCUUAUCUAUGGCUAUGCUCCUUAAUUUCCAGAGGUUUGGUCAUUGGGCGGAUCUCUAUCAGGUUCUGGACUUUUGUGGCUACCAGAAAGUUGUGGCUAGUUCAUGGACUGCAUCAUAUUUAGGUAUUCUGUGUCCUGGGUAUCCAACUUGAGUCUUUCUCCUAUGGGUUCUUCAGUUUUAUCUGCAGUGAUCUUUUCUCUUGAGUAUGUUGUGAUUAUUACCUUAGCUGCCAUGGUUUCUCUGGUCUGCUUUUGCACGUACACCAAGUGAAACUUUUGGCUCGUGAAUCAGACUUGAUGCUAUGAUAGAGAGGCCGGAGUGGUGUAGGACAUUGUUUGAUCAGAUGCUUCUAUUCUUUUUUGCUGCUCAAAUUGAUUUGAUUAGGACAUUGUUUGAUCAGAAACUUCUGUUGGUCCAAGCAUGACAGUUCGUGGUCAUUUUAUUUCUUGUCCUUAUUUAUCCUUGUUACUGUGGACCUACUUUUACUGGUUUGAAGGUUCUCAACUCAGAAUCAUGCCUAGGCUGACUUCUAGUAGGCUUUUCAACAUUGUAACACACCUAUUGCUUGCUAAUUUCUGUCUUGAAGCACUAUGUAUAGUAGAAAAAAAAUGCUUAGGCCGACUUCUGGUAGGUCUUUCAACAUUGUAAUACAUCUUUUGCUUGCUAGUUGCUAUCUUGAAGCACUAUGUAUAGCGGAAAUAAAAUGUUUAUGCUGACUUCUAGUAGGUCUUGCAACAUUGUAAUACAUCUUUUGCUUGCUGAUUGCUAUCUUGAAGCACUAUAGUGGAAAUAAAAUGCUGUUUGUUUUGAUA